UACGUAGGGUGCAAGCGUUGUUCGGAAUCAUUGGGCGUAAAGCGCGCGCAGGCGGUCCUUUAAGUCUGAUGUGAAAGCCCACGGCUCAACCGUGGAGGGUCAUUGGAAACUGGGGGACUUGAGUACAGAAGAGAAGAGUGGAAUUCCACGUGUAGCGGUGAAAUGCGUAGAGAUGUGGAGGAACACCAGUGGCGAAGGCGACUCUUUGGUCUGUAACUGACGCUGAGGCGCGAAAGCGUGGGGAGCAAACAGG
rnacentral:rRNA from 1 species